rnacentral:lncRNA from 1 species
UGUGAACCGAGGCCUUUUCCCUCUGCAGAGAUCUUUCCUCUUUCCCACCUGUUUACUGAAAUGCCUUCACCAGAGGACAAAGCUUGUCAUUCCACAAAGCCAGACUUAUAAUACAAAUCUCACCGAAUGAGUUAAUUCUUGGAUGUGACUACAAGUCACUGGUUUCAAAUCUUCUCUUGCCAGCAGGGAUUGGCAGAGAUGAAGAGAAACAAGAAGCAGAAAUACAGGCAACACAGAGGUGGUUGUGUCCACUUAGCUAUUUAUCCCAGAAAUAACACCAUGCUUUGCCAUGCCUAGUAUAGACAUGGCUACAGUGACAAUCCAGGUGAAAGAUACAGGUUUUCAUGUGAUUCCUUAACAAAGAGAAGAUUGUUAACUAUGAUUGCCAUCUACCUAUAGCCAACCUAGAAGACUUACCUCAGUUUACAAGGCUGCAAGAAACUAAAUCCUUCCAACAACUACAUAAGUGAGCCUGGAAAUGAAUCCUCCCCUAGUCAAGCCUUCAGAUGAGACUGUUGCUCUAGGUGAUGUGGUGCCUGUAAUCACGUGACGUUGAACAAGAAAAAUACCCAGAUAAACCAUGCCCGGAUUCCUAACCCAAAGAAUUUGUGAAAAAAAUCAAUAUUUGUAUUUUAAGCCAUCAACUUCUCAGGUGAUUUGAUACACACCAAUACAUAACUAAGACAAGUGCCUUUUGAACUCCUUUUCCCUUAAAAUCCCAGAGGAUUUAACAUGACUUUCAAAAUUAUAAAAAAUAAAUUUUUAUUUCAAUAUUUUAUUUAAAUUUGGGGGGUGGUAGGGAUAGAGUCUCACUGUCACCUAGGCUGGCGUGCAGCGGCACUAUCUCAGCACACUGCAACAUUUGUCUCCCAAGUUCAAGCAAUUCUCCUGCCUCAGCCUCCUGAGUAGCUGGGAUUACAAGCCUGAGGCACCAGGCCUGGCUAAUUUUUGUAUUUUUAGUAGAGACGAGGUUUCACCAUGUUGGGCAGGCUGGUCUUGAACUCCUGACCUCAAGUGAUCCACCCACCUCAGCCUCCCAAAGUGCUGGGAUUACAGGCGUGAGCCACCGCACCCAGCCUUUUAUUUAAUUGUUAAUGGAAUUCAAAACAUCAGACAAGCUACAGCCUCCUUGUUUUCUGUUACUUAUUCUAAUGCUAAAAUAAAAACAAGCAUUAAGACAUUCUGGAUUUUGUAACUCAGAAGCUUCUGGGGUUUUUUAAAAUUAAUAUUAUAAUUUAAGGAUUACGUGAUAUAGUGGGAUUUUUAAAUACCACAUUAACAAUAUAUCUCUCUGGUAAGCACCCAUAAGGUUUCUUUGAGGACUGCAGCAUUUUAGAGUCUCUAGAUAACAUCUAAAACAUCAGUUUGAAUUAAGCAAGCUGAGACUUAGAGGGGUUAAAAGAUUCUCCUGUGGUCCUAUUAUAGAAUUAGCACGUGGCAGAGCUCAGACAGAAACCUACACUUUCUGAUUCCAGAGCAUUGCUCAUUCUAUCUCACUACUUUGAGAAACCAAGAAAGCAUGGCCAGCUGUAAUAAUCUUGUCCAUUUUACCCAAAUAAAGAUGGAACAUUAUUGGAGAAAAAUUAAAAUGCCCUACAGCAGCACAACGAUCCCUGGUUUGUUGUCAUCAUUUUCAACUUGCAGUCUGC